CCCAGUAACGGCGAGUGAAGCGGCAAGAGCUCAAAUUUGAAAUCUGGCCUCCCCCGGGGGCCCGAGUUGUAAUUUGCAGAGGAUGCUUCGGGUGCGGCCGCCGUCUAAGUUCCUUGGAACAGGACGUCAGAGAGGGUGAGAAUCCCGUCUUGGGCGGGCGGUCCGCGCCCGUGUGAAGCUCCUUCGACGAGUCGAGUUGUUUGGGAAUGCAGCUCUAAGCGGGUGGUAAAUUUCAUCUAAAGCUAAAUAUUGGCCGGAGACCGAUAGCGCACAAGUAGAGUGAUCGAAAGGUUAAAAGCACCUUGAAAAGGGAGUUAAACAGCACGUGAAAUUGUUGAAAGGGAAGCGCUUGCGGCCAGACUCGGGGGCGGGGUUCAGCGGGUGCUCGUCGCCCGUGUAUUCCUCGUCUCCCGGGCCAGCAUCAGUUUCGACGGCCGGUCAAAGGCCCCCGGAAUGUGUCGUCUCUCGGGACGUCUUAUAGCCGGGGGUGCAAUGCGGCCCGUCGGGACUGAGGAACGCGCUCCGGCUCGGAUGCUG
rnacentral:rRNA from 1 species